rnacentral:rRNA from 1 species
AUGGCGGGGGAGUUGGGUCAGCAGACAGUGGAGCUGGGGACUGUGUCGCGGCAGGCGGCGGAGGAGUCCUACCUGGCGCUGCGGGAGCUCGUGGAGAAGUCGCGGGCGGGCGUCGAGGGGGAGACAGCGCAGCAGAGGUCGGAUACUGAGAAGAAGAUCGACUUGCUCAAAUUCAUCGACCGCACCCGCCAGCGCAUGCUCCGGCUCCAUGUCCUCGCCAAGUGGUGCCAGCAGGUGCCCUUGCUUCAUUACUGCCAGCAACUUGCGUCAACUCUCUCCAGCCAUGAAACUUGCUUCACCCAAACAGGCGAUUCACUAUUCUUUAUGCAUGAAGGAUUGCAGCAAGCUCGUGCUCCCAUUUUUGAUGUUUCAUCUGCGAUAGAAGUCAUACAUACAGGGAGCUAUAGGAGAUUGCCUAAAUCUGUAGAGGAAAUAGGUACUCAGAAUACACUUUUUCAAGAUGAGCGGAAGCCUACAUUGAAGAAAUUAAGCACCCUUGUGCGGGCAAAAUUACUUGAAACCCUAGUUCCUAAAGAAAUGUCUGAGGUUUCGGUGACUGAUGGAAUAGCCAAUGUACAGGUAGAUGGCGAAUUCAAAGUACUCCUUACGUUAGGUUACCGUGGGCACUUCUCGCUGUGGAGGAUAUUGCAUAUUGAGUUACUUGUUGGUGAGAACACCGGGCCUAUUAAGCUUGAAGAGACAAGAAGGUAUGUUCUGGGUGAUGACAUCGAACGGAGAAUGGCUGUGGCUGACAAUCCCCUCACAAUUUUGUAUACAAUUCUCCAUGAGCUAUGCAUCUCUUUUGUUAUGGAUACCGUAAUUAGACAGACUAAUGUUCUACGACAAGGUAGAUGGAAAGAGGCAAUAAAAUCUGAACUUGUCUCGGAUAGUCAUAGAAGUGCAGGACAAGGUGGGAAUAAUGCUCCAACACAGCUUGGUCAAGAUGGAGAGCUCGAUUCAAGUGGGUUCAGGAUACCUGGUUUGAAAAUAAAUUAUUGGCUGGAUGAAAGAAACAGUGGGUCAGCAGAAUCUGAUUCAUCUCCAUUUAUUAAAGUUGAGGCACUGCAAGAUAUGCAGAUAAAGUGUCAGCACAGUUCAUUUGUAUUGGAUCCACUUACAGAUAAAGAAGCUGAUCUUUCUCUUGAUCUUAGUUGCAUUGAUGUUGAGGCAAUCAUUUUGAAAGCAAUUGCUUGCAAUAGACACACACGUCUUCUGGAAAUUCAGAGGGAGUUGAAAAAAAAUACUCGGAUUUCUCUAUCCCCAACUGAUGUUGUCCUGAAACGGAAAGAAGUUCAUAUGGACGUCCUGCAAAAGAGAGUGGAUAGAAGGGGCUUCAAGAAUUGUUGUACAAAUGAAGUGCUUCAGGUUAGGGCAUAUGGAAAAUCGUAUAUUCACCUGGGAAUAAAUAUCAGGAGUGGCGGCUUCCUCCUGCAAUCACCAAAAAAUAUAUUACCACCUUCUGCGGCAUUAGACUCUGAAGAAGCCCUUAAUAAACGGAGCAUAACACCCACUGAGGUCUUCGUGAGCUUAAAGACCAGAAGCAUCCUUCAGUUGUUUGCUGCGACAGGAAGGUUUUUGGGCCUGAAGGUUUACUCUGAGUGUCAGAUUACUCUGAAGAUACCAAAAUCCAUACUGUAUGGUUCAGAUUUUAUGGUUAUGGGAUUUCCUUGGCGUACGAAUGCCUAUUAUCUUCUGAUGCAACUUGAUGACAACCUCAUGCCGGUUUUUUAUUUGCUUGAGGUGCAUAUUGACGGAGAAGACAGGUUUAACAUUGAUACAACCACUGACACUAAAGAAGUUGUAAGGUUUAACAGAAUUGACAUUGGCCAGAUGCAACUAGGUGAAGAUGAAUGCAUUGCAAAUCUUCUUGAUGUAGAGAAAUUGCAGGUGCUACAAAGCAUGGAAGAUGGGUCUCCCAGGCAUAGUGAAAUUGAUGAGUCUCUUCCUCUAAAGCCUUCAUUUUCUUCUGUUGUUAAGGCAGUAUUAGGAUAUGAGCGAGAUUCUCCAAGUAAGGAAAAUUGGCUGUCUUAUAGUUCGCCCUCAACUCAUUUGAGUUCUCAAAAAGUUGUCCGUCAGGGGGUUAGCGGUAGAGCUGGCCCACCUGAACUGGAUGAUGAGUUACUACAUUCUAACAUUGACACAGCAAAAGUCACUUCUGGUGUCACUUUGGACAGUUAUCUGCUGAGUAAUUUGGAGUCUGCAUAUAGUACAGAGACCUCCGUUUUGGUCCCUGCAGGUUUGGAGAAUAUCUCCGCUUUACGCUCUGAAGUUCCAUCUGGAAAGAGAUAUCUUUCAGAGUUCUUGUUGAACAUCCCAUCAUUACAGCGAUCAAUAAUCAGUGGUGGGCCAAGAAAGAGAAGAAAACUGCCAGAAGAUGCAAGCAGCGUGCAAUCUCGAACAACACUCACCUAUGGAACUAUACUGAGAGAAGGAAAUUGUUGUAUUACAGAAAAUAUAUAUGCUUCUGUGCUUCUUCAAGUCAUAAAGCAUUGUUCGCUUCGUAUCAAAUAUGCUCAACUGACUACCCAGAUGAAUUCUCUUAACAUUCCAUAUGUAGAAGAAGUUGGUCAGGGGACACCCUCCUCUAAUCUUUGGUUACGGCUACCUUUUGCUCAAGAUGGUUCUUGGAAACACACAUGCUUACGUCUUGGUGAAGCUGGAAGCAUGUCAUGGGGUGUUAGGAUCAACGAUCCAUAUUAUGCUGCACUGUGGGAACUUCAUGGAGGCAGCAAUACUACAGAAUGGGGUUCUCGUGUUCGCAUUGCAAACACUUCUGAGAUGGAUUCACACAUCUCUUUUGACUAUGAUGGGGUCACUUUGACUUACAACUCUGUUGAGGCUGAUAGUAUACAGCGGCUUGUCUCAGAAUUACGACGACUUUCAAAUGCUCGUGUAUUUGCUUGUGGAAUGCGGAGGUUGGUUCGUGUUAAAGUAGAUGAGAAAUUAGUUGAGAAUCAGUUAGCUACAAAGGCAAAGUUACAUGCAAGAAAAGGUUUCAGGAACAGGUUAUCGGACCAGAUGGCUAAAAAUUUCCGGAUUAACGCUGUUGGUUUGAUGAACUUGUGGUUCAGUUAUGGUGCCAAUGCCAUGCCCAUGGUUCACUUUGUUGUCGAGUGGGAGGCCGGUAAGGUUGGCUGCACAAUGCGUAUUUCACCAGAUCAUCUUUGGCCACACACAAAGUUUUUGGAGGAUUUUGUGAAUUGCAAUGAGGUGGCAUCAUUUUUGGAUUGCAUCAGACUGACAGCAGGUCCUUUACUUUCCCUUGGUGGUGCAAUUCGUCCUGCAAAGAUGCCUGCUGUCCCUGCUGUUUGGGGUUCUGCACAAAAGCAAAACAAUGUUCUUUUGGCAAAUGGUUCGUCAUCAACUACUGUGCAUAUAAACAGUCAUGAUGCUCAGACUUCCUCUAUGCUCUCUGCUGUAGGCCGGACUGGUCAUGGACUAGUUCCUAGUUCUUUGAUGCCUUUUGAUGUUUCUGUUGUGCUCCGUGGGCCAUACUGGAUACGCAUUAUAUAUCGCAAUAAGUUCUCUGUUGACAUGCGCUGCUUUGCUGGGGAUCAGGUCUGGCUGCAGCCAGCAACCCCUCCAAAAGGUGGGCCUUCAAUUGGUGGAUCUUUACCUUGUCCACAAUUUCGACCAUUCAUAAUGGAACUUGUUGCUCAGGGUCUAAAUACUCUUGAGCCGAGCUUUCUGAAUGCUAGACAUACUAGUGCCAAUACUUCAUCUGGAAGUCAACAGAUAGCAGCUAGUGUGAGUAGAGCAGGCAAUGCCACACUACCUUCAGGAGACGGAGCUCCUGCACACCUUUCUCCUGACACUAACCUUCCUGUGCAUAUGAAAGGAGAAUUGAACACAGCUUUUAUCGGGCAUGGAGAUGAUGGUGGCUAUGGUGGUGGCUGGGUCCCUCAUGCUGCCCUUAAGAAGGUGUUGCGAGACAUUCUCAAGUACCUUGGAGUUCUAUGGUUGUUUGCGCAAUUGCGUGAUAUUCUGAAAGAUAUAUUGGGGUCAGUUUUGAAAGAUAAUGAAGGUGCACUUCUGAAUUUGGAUCAAGAACAGCCAGCGCUGCGCUUCUUUGUGGGUGGUUAUGUCUUUGCAGUUAGUGUUCAGCGAGUUCAACUGCACCUUCAAGUUCUUAAUGUGAAGAGGUUUCACCACCAGCAACAGCAACAGCAAGCUCCUCAGAGCAGUGCUCAGGGAGAGCUAACACCAUCUGAGAUACAUGAGAUAUGCGAUUACUUUAGCAGAUGUGUUGUCUGUGAACCUUAUGAUGCUUCUAGGAUUGCUUCUUUUAUCAUGUUGCUUACUCUGCCCAUUUCAGUUAUACAAGAAUUUGUAAAACUAAUUACAUGGAAUAAAAGCUUGUCCGAGGCUCAUGGGGACAUCGCUGCUGCAGAGCGGGCACAGGCUGAACUUUGUUUGGAAAAGCAUCCAAGAUCAGUUUCAGAUGAUUAUACUGAACCUUCUUUAUUAUCCAAGAGUAAUAUUCAGCAUGACAGAGCCAACAAUUCAGUAGAUUUUACCCUAACUUUUGUGCUUGACCAUAAUCUUACACCACAUGUGAGGACAUCUGGUGGAGCUGCUUGGCUACCAUUUUGUGUUUCUCUGAGAUUAAGGUACACCUUUGGGGAUACUAGUCAUAUCGCAUACCUUGCAAUGGAUGGCAGCCAUGGUGGUAGGUCUUGCUGGUUGCAACACGAGGAUUGGGAGAGGUGUAAGCAGAGUGUUGUUAAAGCAGUGAAGACCGUGAAUGGAUCGCCAGCAGGUGGAGAGACAAGCCGAGGAAGGCUGCAAAUGGUUGCUGAAAUGGUCCAAAAGCAACUGCAACUGUGCCUAGUGCAUUUAAGAGAUGGCUCGCUUUCUGCUGGCUCAACUUGA